UACGUAGGGGGCAAGCGUUGUCCGGAUUUAUUGGGCGUAAAGAGCGUGUAGGCGGCCUGACAAGUCUGCUGUGAAAACUCGAGGCUCAACCUCGAGAUGUCGGCGGAAACUGUCUGGCUAGAGUCCGGAAGAGGAGAGUGGAAUUCCUGGUGUAGCGGUGAAAUGCGCAGAUAUCAGGAAGAACACCAAUGGCGAAGGCAGCUCUCUGGGACGGUACUGACGCUGAGACGCGAAAGCGUGGGGAGCGAACAGG
rnacentral:rRNA from 1 species